GACGGGACCGCACAAGCGGUGGAUGAUGUGGUUUAAUUCGAUGCAACGCGAAAACCUUACCACCUUUGACAUGUACGGAACCCUUAGAGAUAGAGGGUGCUCGAAAGAGAGCCGUAACACAGGUGCUGCAUGGCUGUCGUCAGCUCGUGUCGUGAGAUGUUGGGUUAAGUCCCGCAACGAGCGCAACCCUUGUCAUUAGUUGCUACAUUCAGUUGGGCACUCUAAUGAGACUGCCGGUGACAAGCCGGAGGAAGGUGGGGAUGACGUCAAGUCCUCAUGGCCCUUAUAGGUGGGGCUACACACGUCAUACAAUGGCUGGUACAAAGGGUUGCCAACCCGCGAGGGGGAGCCAAUCCCAUAAAGCCAGUCGUAGUCCGGAUCGCAGUCUGCAACUCGACUGCGUGAAGUCGGAAUCGCUAGUAAUCGUGGAUCAGCAUGUCACGGUGAAUACGUUCCCGGGUCUU
rnacentral:rRNA from 1 species